rnacentral:lncRNA from 1 species
AUGCAUGGGAUCCUAGUUCCCCAACCAGGGAUCAAACCGACGCCCCUGCAUUGGAAGCAUGGAGUCUUAACCACAGGACCGUCAGGGAGGUCCCCCAUACAGCUUUUCGCCAAGUAUUUGGCACAGAUGAAAACACAAGGCAAGCUAUGCUUUGGUGACGAGCCAAGGAAAAUAUCCACUGAAUACAAACCAGGCUCCCAGAACAUGCCCAGCGAAGUGCACAGGAAACACUCUGUCCUCCGCGAGCGAGCGCUGAAGGCGGCCUCUCCUCUCUCCUUUGUCAUCACAUAUAUUGCCAGGAGGGGCUUCGCAGGUGGUGCUAGUGGUAAAGAACCCAUCUGCCAAUGGAGGAGACAAAAGAGACACUAGCUCAGUCCCUGGGUUGGGAAGCUCCCCUAGAGGAGGGCAUAGCAACCGCUCCAGUAUUCUUGACUGGAGUAUCCCAUGGACAGAGGAACAUGGCGGGUCACAGUCUGCAGGGUCACACAGCCAGACACAACUAAAGCUACUUAGCAUGCACCCAUGCAUAUUGCCAGGUAACUAAUUUUUGAGAUUUAUAGUUUCCCUUUUUUGGUUGAACUAAUGAAGCAUCAAUAAACCCAAGAAUGUAAGUCA